GAUGAAGAACGCAGCGAAAUGCGAUACGUAAUGUGAAUUGCAGAAUUCAGUGAAUCAUCGAAUCUUUGAACGCAUAUUGCGCUCUCUGGUAUUCCGGAGAGCAUGCUUGUUUGAGUAUCAGUAAACACCUCAACUUCCAUAUCUUUUUUUGAAAUGGGAGUUGGACUUGAGUGAUCCCAACGCUUUUCCUCACCGAAAAGUGGCGGGUUACUUGAAAUGCAGGUGCAGCUGGACUUUUCUCUGAGCUAUAAGCAUAUCUAUUUAGUCUGCCUAAAAAACAGAUUAUUACCUUUGCUGCAGCUAACAUAAAGGAGAUUAGUUCUUGUGCUGACUGAUGCAGGAUUCACAAAGACAGCUUCGGCCGACUUUGUAAACUCGAUCUCAAACCAAGUAAGACUACCCGCUGAACUUAAGCAUAUCAAUAAGCGGAGGA
rnacentral:misc_RNA from 1 species